GAGGCACGACUUCCGGUGUAUCACUAUCACACCCUCACCAGCUUCCCCCAUCCGUCCAACACUUCCUGAAUCACGCGAACAAACGCAAACGCCCCCCUUCUCCUCCUUUCCGUUCCUCUUCCUCCCUCUCAAGAUUCAUGUCCCCCUAUCUCGAGUCUUGGGCUAGGUGCCACGAUAACGUCCUCGACCCCCCUCCCCCUCGCUCCCCUCCUCCCACUUCUUUACGGUUUUCUCUGUGCAGUUUCAUCUCAUUGGUCGGCGCGUAUUCCUUCUGUUUCUCGUGCAUUUCUCCCGCGCCUCUACAAUUGUGUCCAGUGGGCCCUCUCGGUGAGUCGAGUGUGAUGGCGCCACCUGCGUGGUCUUGUCGUUUGUUUUUUUUUUCUUUUCUUGGCUUACCAGUAGUCGAUGUGCGACAUGCCGAAUACUUUUUUUUUGCCUCCAUCCUCUCGGCAGAUACGUGCACUCUUCGCCACCUGCACUCACAGGCAUGUGCACACACGCCGGACAGUCGUACUACUUGUUGCUCGUACUUCUGUCGGGUAUCGUACGUUGAGCUCGGAGGAGGAAGGGGGGAUGAGGGGAUGCGGGUGCGAGUGCGACGCGUAGCGGGCGUAAGCAAGAAGCUGAUCAUCAGGGAAAGGAUAUGGCUAGCGGCGCAUAUUGAAGAACAAGUGCGGGGAGCCUCUGCUUAUGGUUCUCUUUGUGUGUUUUAGUGAGCUCGGGGCACGCAACAGAAGGCCAACGCUUGUGUGUGUGCAUAUGCGUGUGGCGUUGAGAGUGCGCUAUGGUCGCAUGACACGAAGAGCGAGAUACGACGUCGUCUGUGUCUGUGCGGCACGAACGGAUCACCACAGGUGAGCUAUGCGUGGACUCUUUCCUUUCGACUUUCUCUUUCUCUCUCGCUCUUCCUCACCCCCUCGGCCGCACUUACACACACGCAAAUGCGCAUGCACAUGCACAUGCGCCACUCUACUCCAUGAGCAAACACCAG
rnacentral:misc_RNA from 1 species